GAUGAACGCUGGCGGCGUGCCUAAUACAUGCAAGUCGAGCGAACAGAUGAGGAGCUUGCUCCUCUGACAUUAGCGGCGGACGGGUGAGUAACACGUGGAUAACCUACCUAUAAGACUGGGAUAACUUCGGGAAACCGGAGCUAAUACCGGAUAAUAUAUUGAACCGCAUGGUUCAAUAGUGAAAGACGGUUUUGCUGUCACUCAUAGAUGGAUCCGCGCCGCAUUAGCUAGUUGGUAAGGUAACGGCUUACCAAGGCAACGAUGCGUAGCCGACCUGAGAGGGUGAUCGGCCACACUGGAACUGAGACACGGUCCAGACUCCCACGGGAGGCAGCAGUAGGGAAUCUUCCGCAAUGGGCGAAAGCCUGACGGAGCAACGCCGCGUGUGUGAUGAAGGUCUUCGGAUCGUAAAACUCUGUUAUUAGGGAAGAACAAAUGUGUAAGUAACUAUGCACGUCUUGACGGUACCUAAUCAGAAAGCCACGGCUAACUACGUG
rnacentral:rRNA from 1 species